ensembl:lncRNA
CCAGCGUUACCCUCUCCGACUCCAAUACAUUCCGGUAGUGCCGCCCUUUACCCCUUCGUUGUCUACGCAGGGACAGCUGCUCACCAUCAUGGACCUGCGUGAGCUCCUUUUAAUGGCCGUCACAGGCAGCAGGACAAAAUGCAGGCCUGCCAGCGUAAACGGCCCACUGAGUCAGGAACAUUUAUAGCCAACGUAUGUUAGACAUGCAGGAGAUUGGACACGCUGGUUGGUGCGUAACAUUGGACAGUGAGACAACGAGACAAAUAACAAGGCUUCUCUGUAGAGGGUAAAUGACUGGACGGGAUAAAAGAACAGAUUCUUUAUCAACAAAAUGAAGCACUGAAUGCUAAAUGACCUGCACUGUGUACGGAUAUGCGCACAGACCCAAAUUAAAACAGUGCUUGACAACUAAAGAGGGAAUUCCAUGAAAAAGGAAAAACACAGGCCUCAACGUUUUUCUGGAUUUCUUUUUCUAGGACAGUGAUUCCCGACCGGUCUCAUUUAAACCCGCAGCUCUCGUCAGAUCAACGAAGAUACGCCUUCAUUUACAACAUUAAAUGUUUUGAAACGGGAUGUUAUCCAAAAGGAUUCAUUAUAUAAAAAGUCACAGCAAUUGGUCAAACAACUGAAAAGUCAGUUAAUUGGAAUUUGCAUCAGCAAAACCACCACCUGCAGGGCAGAAGUUGGAUGUUUCAUUUACAACUACCAAUAGUAAUCUACUAUACAAGCUAUUCACGCCAUUUAUUCCUUUACCUUCAGUUAUGGUACAAAUAACCUAGUGGGUGAAAGACUGUUCCAUAAAUCAAGCUCAAUCCUUUAAAUUUUGUAUUUUUGAAUAAUUUGAAUAAUAAAUUAUUGUCCUGUCACAGAUACGCCGAUGUAAGAUCAAAAUAUAAUAGUAGGUUGUGUGUGUGUGUGUGUGUGCGGUCAGGUGCAUCCCAAAAAAACUGACUCUGCUGUUAAAAAAGCUGCUGACUCAAAGGACAAAGAUUAGUCUUGUUACAAAUUUAUUACAACGUAUUAC